CAGAACGAACGUUGGCGGCAUGGAUGAGGCAUGCAAGUCGCGGGAAUCCCCAGCAAUGGGGGGAACCGGCGUAAGGGGCAGUAAGGCGUAGGUACCUACCCCGUGGUCCGGGAUAGCCCGCCGAGAGGCGGGGUAAUACCGGAUGACCUCGGGAGAGCAAAGCUCCGGCGCCAUGGGCGGGGCCUACGUGAUAUUACCUAGUUGGCGGGGUAACGGCCCACCAAGGGGGAGAUGUCUAGUGGGUGUGAGAGCACGACCCGCGCCACUCGCACUGAGACACUGGCGAGACACCUACGGGUGGCUGCAGUCGAGGAUCUUCGGCAAUGGGGGCAACCCUGACCGAGCGAUGCCGCGUGGGCGACGAAGGCCUUCGGGUUGUAAAGCCCUGUCGAGGGGGAGAAAGCCCGGGUCACACCGGGUCGAUCUAGCCCUGGAGGAAGCUCGGGCUAAGUUCGUGCCAGCAGCCGCGGUAAGACGAACCGAGCGAACGUUGUUCGGAAUCACUGGGCUUAAAGGGCGCGUAGGCGGGCUGCCGCGUCCGGGGUGAAAUCCUCCGGCUCAACCGGAGAACGGCCCCGGGUACGGGCGGCCUCGAGGGGGGUAGGGGCGUGCGGAACUGUGGGUGGAGCGGUGAAAUGCGUUGAUAUCCACAGGAACUCCGGUGGCGAAGGCGGCACGCUGGACCCCUUCUGACGCUGAGGCGCGAAAGCCAGGGGAGCGAACGGGAUUAGAUACCCCGGUAGUCCUGGCCCUAAACGAUGAGAACUGGGUAGUAGCCCGGGCAUGGGGUUACUGCCGCAGCCAAAGUGCUAAGUUCUC
rnacentral:rRNA from 1 species